rnacentral:rRNA from 1 species
AUUGAACGCUGGCGGCAGGCCUAACACAUGCAAGUCGAGCGAGCGGCGGAGGGGUGAGUAUGGUCUGGGAAACUGCCGGAUGGAGGGGGAAACAUACUGGAACCGGUAGCUAAUACCGCAUACCAUCGGAUGUGCCCAGAUGGGGGUAGCUAGUGGGUGGGGUAACGGCUCACCUAGGCGACGAUCCCUAGCUGGUCUGAGAGGAUGACCAGCCACACUGGAACUGAGACACGGUCCAGACUCCGACGGGAGGCAGCAGUGGGGAAUAUUGCACAAUGGGCGCAAGCCUGAUGCAGCCAUGCCGCGUGUAUGAAGAAGGCCUUCGGGUUGUAAAGCACUUUCAGCGGGGAGGCGUUACCCGCAGAAGAAGCACCGGCUAACUCCGUGCCAGCAGCCGCGGUAAUAC